rnacentral:rRNA from 1 species
GGCCCGGUUGGAUGGUCUGCUCUAGGGUUUGUACUGUCCUGACUGGGUCUUCCCUUCUGGUGAGCUGUCGUGUUGUUCACUCAAUGCGGCAGGGAACCAGGACUUUUACUUUGAAAAAAUUAGAGUGUUUAAAGCAGGCAUUCGCUUGAAUACAUUAGCAUGGAAUAAUGGAAUAGGGCUGCUGCCCCAUUUUGUUGGUUUCUGGGACCGUAGCA